GGUCUCUUAAGUCUAAUGACGUCUGCUUGCUGGCCUUAUGUUUAUUUUGGCGUUUCCUAUCUCAAGGUGGGAUUGCACACAUGCACACUAAGUAUAUGGAAGUUAGAAAACAGCGUUCCUUGUCAUACCUUGGGUGCUUUCCAUGUUUUUGCUUGAGACAGAGUCUACCACUGGUCUGGAGCAUUACCGUGUAAGCUAGGCUCACUGGCCCAAGAGCUUCUAGAGAGCCAACCAUCUCCACCC
rnacentral:lncRNA from 14 species